rnacentral:rRNA from 1 species
GCAGUCAACGGUAACAGGUCUUCGGAUGCUGACGAGUGGCGGACGGGUGAGUAAUGCGUAGGAAUCUGUCUUUGAGUGGGGGACAACCCAGGGAAACUUGGGCUAAUACCGCAUAAGCCCUGAGGGGGAAAGCGGGGGAUCUUCGGACCUCGCGCUGGAAGAGGAGCCUACGUCUGAUUAGCUAGUUGGUAGGGUAAAGGCCUACCAAGGCGACGAUCGGUAGCUGGUCUGAGAGGACGACCAGCCACACUGGGACUGAGACACGGCCCAGACUCCUACGGGAGGCAGCAGUGGGGAAUUUUUCGCAAUGGGGGCAACCCUGACGAAGCAAUGCCGCGUGAAUGAAGAAGGCCUUCGGGUUGUAAAGUUCUUUCGUGGAGGACGAAAAGGUGGGUGCUAAUAUCGCCUGCUGUUGACGUGAAUCCAAGAAGAAGCACCGGCUAACUCCGUGCCAGCAGCCGGGGGUA